UACGGGGGGUGCGAGCGUUGUUCGGAUUUACUGGGCGUAAAGGGCGCGUAGGCGGCUUAACAAGUCACUUGUGAAAUCUCCGGGCUUAACUCGGAACGGCCAAGUGAAACUGUCAAGCUAGAGUGCAGAAGGGGCAAUCGGAAUUCUUGGUGUAGCGGUGAAAUGCGUAGAUAUCAAGAGGAACACCUGCGGCGAAGGCGGGUUGCUGGGCUGACACUGACGCUGAAGCGCGAAAGCUAGGGGAGCGAACGGG
rnacentral:rRNA from 1 species